rnacentral:rRNA from 1 species
UACAGAGGGGGCAAGCGUUAUUCGGAAUUAUUGGGCGUAAAGGGCGCGUAGGCGGCUUCGCAAGUGGAAGGUGAAAUCCCUCGGCUUAACCGAGGAACUGCCGUCCAAAACUGCUUCGCUUGAGACCGGGAGAGGUGAGUGGAAUUCCCAGUGUAGCGGUGAAAUGCGUAGAUAUUGGGAGGAACACCAGUGGCGAAGGCGGCUCACUGGACCGGUACUGACGCUGAUGCGCGAAAGCGUGGGGAGCAAACAGG